UCGACGUUAUGCUGUCCACUACUCCCUCCACUGGCAUUGAUAUUAUCCUCAGCAGCUUGCCACCGUCCACUGUUCCUUCCGCUAGCAUUGAUAUUAUCCUCAACAGCCUGCCACUGUUCACAGCUCCCUCCACUAGUAUUGAUAUUGUCCUCAGCAGCCUGCCACUAUCCACUGCUCCCUCGACUAGCAUUGGUAUUGUCCUCAGCAGCCUGCCACACCUGAGGCUGGAUGUAAACAGAUGGAAAAACCCUAGGCAUAGCAGUCCUUCGAAUCAUCACCUCAGAUGGAGCAGUCUU
rnacentral:lncRNA from 1 species